GACGAACGCUGGCGGCGUGCUUAACACAUGCAAGUCGAACGGAAAGGCCCUGCUUUUGUGGGGUGCUCGAGUGGCGAACGGGUGAGUAACACGUGAGUAACCUGCCCUUGACUUUGGGAUAACUUCAGGAAACUGGGGCUAAUACCGGAUAGGAGCUCCUGCUGCAUGGUGGGGGUUGGAAAGUUUCGGCGGUUGGGGAUGGACUCGCGGCUUAUCAGCUUGUUGGUGGGGUAGUGGCUUACCAAGGCUUUGACGGGUAGCCGGCCUGAGAGGAUGACCGGCCACAUUGGGACUGAGAUACGGCCCAGACUCCUACGGGAGGCAGCAGUGGGGAAUAUUGCACAAUGGGCGGAAGCCUGAUGCAGCAACGCCGCGUGCGGGAUGACGGCCUUCGGGUUGUAAACCGCUUUCGCCUGUGACGAAGCGUGAGUGACGGUAAUGGGUAAAGAAGCACCGGCUAACUACGUGCCAGCAGCCGCGGUGAUACGUAGGGUGCGAGCGUUGUCCGGAUUUAUUGGGCGUAAAGGGCUCGUAGGUGGUUGAUCGCGUCGGAAGUGUAAUCUUGGGACUUAACCCUGAGCGUGCUUUCGAUACGGGUUGACUUGAGGAAGGUAGGGGAGAAUGGAAUUCCUGGUGGAGCGGUGGAAUGCGCAGAUAUCAGGAGGAACACCAGUGGCGAAGGCGGUUCUCUGGGCCUUUCCUGACGCUGAGGAGCGAAAGCGUGGGGAGCGAACAGGCUUAGAUACCCUGGUAGUCCACGCUGUAAACGGUGGGUACUAGGUGUGGGGUCCAUUCCACGGGUUCCGUGCCGUAGCUAACGCUUUAAGUACCCCGCCUGGGGAGUACGGCCGCAAGGCUAAUACUCAAAGGAAUUGACGGGGCCCCGCACAAGCGGCGGAGCAUGCGGAUUAAUUCGAUGCAACGCGUAGAACCUUACCUGGGUUUGACAUGGAUCGGGAGCGCUCAGAGAUGGGUGUGCCUCUUUUGGGGUCGGUUCACAGGUGGUGCAUGGCUGUCGUCAGCUCGUGUCGUGAGAUGUUGGGUUAAGUCCCGCAACGAGCGCAACCCUUGUUCACUGUUGCCAGCACGUUAUGGUGGGGACUCAGUGGAGACCGCCGGGGUCAACUCGGAGGAAGGUGGGGAUGACGUCAAGUCAUCAUGCCCCUUAUGUCCAGGGCUUCACGCAUGCUACAAUGGCUGGUACAGAGAGUGGCGAGCCUGUGAGGGUGAGCGAAUCUCGGAAAGCCGGUCUCAGUUCGGAUUGGGGUCUGCAACUCGACCUCAUGAAGUCGGAGUCGCUAGUAAUCGCAGAUCAGCAACGCUGCGGUGAAUACGUUCCCGGG
rnacentral:rRNA from 1 species